CAGCUCAAUGAAUUGUCACAAAGAGAACACCCCUGGGUGUUCAGAUCACAAAACAAUGUUCUAGCACCCUGAAAUUCUCAUGAUACCCCCUCCCAGUUACUACCCUGCCACGGGGAACCAUUCUCCUAAUUCUAACAUUACAGAUUAAUUUUGUCUGUUCUUGAACUCUAAUUAAAUGGAAUAUCUAUACCUGAUGGGGUGGCAGUAUGUGACUCUAUGUGAAACAUUUUUUUAAGUUUGAAUACAGAUUGUUUCAUUUUAUUUAUGCAAGAAACAUUUUUCCAGAUCGUUUCCAGGUCUGGACACAGAUACACAGACAGUCAAAUGUUCUUAUGUUAAGGCUACAGCUCAGUGAAUUUUUACAUUAGAGAACUAUGUAAACACAACGUAGAUCACGAUAUACAUCAUUUCUAGCAUGCCGAAGCCUUCCUUAUCAGUCAAUACCCACUGCUGCCCCUGGGUCUAAUUCAAUGGAUUAAUUUUGCCUGUUUUUGAACUUGACUUAAAUGGAAUCAUAGAAAUAAUCUGAAGCCAAAACAUUCAUACAAUGUGGAAGUUUUGUCUGAAAUUCUGAAACCAGACACACACCAGGACAAAAUUCUGUUCUAUAGCCCUGGCUUGGCCAUUUGAGAUUGCCUGUUUUCUGUUAUUCCCUCUGGAAUCCAAAAACAUAAACAUUUAAGUGAACCCUGCAGUUUGGGGUGAAUUUGGAGUCAGGAUCCUGUUAAUGAAGUUAACAAGUUAAGGCUGAUUCUUCUUUGUAGGUAAUUUGGAACGGGACCUCAGAGCCCCCUGGUCAAAAUCUCUUAGCCUUUGGAGACUGACCGUUGGCUGCAGAGACUGAAUAAUGCAGCUUGAAAAAGAGCCUGCAGGGAAUCCCUGGCGGUUCAGUGGACAGGACUCGGCACUUUCACUGCCGUGGCCCGGGUUUGAUCCCUGGUCAGGGAACUAAGAUACUGCAAGCAGCGGGGCAUGGCCAAAAAAAAAAAAAAGCCUCCAUGUGGUUGCCUGCCUCCAUUUGACAGCUUCCUGAGUGCCCUGUACACCUUUGGGUCCCACCACCUCGCUGGACAGCAGGGCUCUCCGUGGGGCCCACAGGACCUUGGACACGUCUACAGGAAGCCCUGUCAGCAGCUGCAGCUGAGGGCCGCAGAUCUUUUUCCAAGAACAACAGAAAAUGAUCGAGUACCAGGUAAGUGUGACAUUAACGAGCCAACUUUCGGGACUUCCUUGGUGGUCCAGUGGUUAAGACUCCAUGCUUCCAAUGCAGGGGGUGCGGGUUCGAUCCCUGGUCGGGGAACUAAGAUCCCACAUGCCGCACGGUGUGGCCAAAAAACAAAAAAAUGAGCCUACUUUCCCUUCUUGGGGAAACUGUUCUAGAAAAAAAUAUAUGCAUUUCAACCACAUAUGCCUUGUCAUAGGCUGGAUUCUCAGGAAAACAAACUUGGGGAUGGAAAUUUGCACACAGAAGGUUUACUAGGGAGGCUCUUGGAACACCUGUAAGUCAGUGAAGGAAGCAAGGUGGGCAGAGGGAGUUGUUGAACAGAGACAUCAGCUGAUCUUAUAAGAUGCUCUGGAGCUGGGAUGGUCCUCAGUGUUGUCCUGAAUGGAGGCAAGGAGGCCUUUGUAUUCUGAAAUCAACCAGUCAUUGGUUGUAGGCUGCCCCAGGGAGGGGACAUAAACUUGGGUGGGGUCGCUCCCUUUGGCCAAGGGAAAUUCUCUAAAGGUUUCACGCCGGCAACAGCCAGCCAUCUCCUAGCAGCUGGGAGAAGAACCUCAGUACUGCAGGGAGAUUUGGGUGGAAUACCACAGCCUCUCUAUACACAUAGACACAAUGGCCAGAUACUUAUUACACAUACUACUCUACCCUUUUUUCCCAAUUAAAAUAUCCUAGAGAUUGUACCAUGUUAGUACUAAGAACCAUGCCUUUUUUUAAAAAAUAAUGUACAUAAUGCUCCAUCAUAUGCAUGGAAUACUUAACCCAUCCCCCAUAUUAUGGACAUUUCGGUAGUUUCCAAAUUUGAUAUUUUAAGCAAUGAUGCAAGGAACAUUCUUUGUUGGAAUACAGAUGUACAAGGGGAGAGUCCAGUGAGAGUCAACUGUUGACUUCCUGGUAGCCCAGCAAAAAGGCAAACACAGCCCAUGACUUGCAUUGGCUAUAAGGAAGAAGUGUAUUGUUAUUUCCAAGAGAAAACUAGCUUUCCAGGGCACUUCUUUUUUAAGAAGUGUCUUAGACAUUGAUGUUCCUGUGGGUUUGAACCUUCUCUGGGGCCUCUGGGGGUGGUUUCGUCCACUCUUAGGUUGAUGCUGGUGCGUCUGCAAGUGACUCCCACAUCUAUACCUAAGCUGAGGCCUCCUCUGAGAGCUUCAGACCCCUUUGCCCAACAUCUGCACCUGGCUGCCCCAGAGCACUUCAGAUUUAAUGUGUACAAAGUUGAACUCUUGAUUUCUGUCUCCUCUUCCCUGUUUCUCAUCUCAGGAGAUGAUACCAUCCCACCAGGCAAGCCAAGACCCUGAGAUUUUCCCUUGACUUCUCCCCACCUUCCACCUCUCACACUCAGUCACCAAGUCUUGCUGAUUUUACAGCCUCAGUGUUUCUUCCAUCUCUCUCCUCUUCAUCCCUGUGUUUGGUGAAAAAGACAUGGCCUUUUAGGUGCAGGAUUACGUCUUUUCUGCUUUGCUCUGUUCUAUUCCCUCCCAUUCUGUUUCAUCCUAUCCUAUCCCACUCCACCCCAUCCCAUCCCAUUCCAGUUAGCUCUUUUUGGGAAAUACUGCCCAGAACCUGUUGCCGAGCCAAGUCCUGUGCUCUGUGAUGAAGGCUGACUGCUGCUCACGCACUACCACAGUACGUUGUUCUGGCAUCAGAGAGGGAGUCUAGUUGGACCUCCUUUGCAUGGGUCUUAGGGUCUCACGUGCCAGCUUCCAUGGCCUCCACCCUGGUUUUGGCCCUGCCUUCAGAUCCAUCUGCCUGGGCCACUACUCAAGUGCUACUGUUGCAGGAAAAAAGAGCGGGGUACGAGAGGGUGGUCACAUCCCAGGUCUCAGGUGAGUCCCUGGGACGGCUGUCAAGUGUGGGUUCUUGGCUUCGCGCAGGAAAGAAUUCAAGAGCAAGCCACAGUAAAGUGAAAGGAGGUUUAUUCAGGGAGAUACACACUCCACAGACAGAGUGUGGGCCAUCUCAGGAGGCGAGAAGCACCAGGGUAUGUACGGGGACUGUCAGUUUUUAUAGGGGUGGGUAAUCUCAUAGGCUAGUAAGUGGGAGGAUUAUUCCAACUAUUUUAGGGAAGGGGCAGAGAUUACCAGGAAUUGGGCCACCACCCACUUUUUGGCCUUUUAUGGUCCACCUUGGAACUGUUAAUGGCACCUAUGGGUGUGUCAUUUAGCUUGCUGUUGUAUUACAAUAAGCAUAUACUGAGGUAUACUGAGGCUCAAGGUCUAGUGGAAAUCAGUCAUCCACCAUCUUGGACCUAGUUGGUUCUAACCAGUUUAUGUCGUGUCCCCAAUGGCUGUCAUUCUUUUAAAGGUUGUGCCCUGCCCCCUUCCUGUCUCACCACCUUAGGACCCAGCAUUCUUCAAGGAAACCUACAGCCUCCUGAGAGUGGAGAGUGGCUGCUCUCAGCCCUUUCACCUCUGUGGGGCCCUAUCAGUGCUUUUUCCCUCCGGCCACUCCCAGAGAUAGUGGGCCAGUGCCACUGGCACUGUGUGGUGCACUAGGGCUCUCCACCCCACUGACACCCAGGCACAGGUCCUGGGUGCCCCCCCCACCUU
rnacentral:lncRNA from 1 species